rnacentral:rRNA from 1 species
GCCUAACACAUGCAGUCGAGCGGUAGCACAGAGAGCUUGCUCUCGGGUGACGAGCGGCGGACGCGUUAGUAAUGUCUGGGAAACUGCCUGAUGGAGGGGGAUAACUACUGGAAACGGUAGCUAAUACCGCAUAACGUCGCAAGACCAAAGUGGGGGACCUUCGGGCCUCAUGCCAUCAGAUGUGCCCAGAUGGGAUUAGCUGGUAGGUGGGGUAACGGCUCACCUAGGCGACGAUCCCUAGCUGGUCUGAGAGGAUGACCAGCCACACUGGAACUGAGACACGGUCCAGACUCCUACGGGAGGCAGCAGUGGGGAAUAUUGCACAAUGGGCGCAAGCCUGAUGCAGCCAUGCCGCGUGUGUGAAGAAGGCCUUCGGGUUGUAAAGCACUUUCAGCGGGGAGGAAGGCGGUGAGGUUAAUAACCUCAUCGAUUGACGUUACCCGCAGAAGAAGCACCGGCUAACUCCGUGCCAGCAGCCGCGGUAAUACGGAGGGUGCAAGCGUUAAUCGGAAUUACUGGGCGUAAAGCGCACGCAGGCGGUCUGUCAAGUCGGAUGUGAAAUCCCCGGGCUCAACCUGGGAACUGCAUUCGAAACUGGCAGGCUAGAGUCUUGUAGAGGGGGGUAGAAUUCCGGGUGUAGCGGUGAAAUGCGUAGAAAGCUGGA